AAAUUGAAGAGUUUGAUCAUGGCUCAGAUUGAACGCUGGCGGCAGGCCUAACACAUGCAAGUCGAACGGUAACAGGAAACAGCUUGCUGUUUUGCUGACGAGUGGCGGACGGGUGAGUAAUGUCUGGGAAACUGCCUGAUGGAGGGGGAUAACUACUGGAAACGGUAGCUAAUACCGCAUAACGUCGCAAGACCAAAGAGGGGGACCUUCGGGCCUCUUG
rnacentral:rRNA from 1 species